CACGUAGGGGGCAAGCGUUGUCCGGAUUUAUUGGGCGUAAAGAGCUCGUAGGCGGUUUCGUUAGUCGGGUGUGAAAACCCCAGGCUCAACCUGGGGACGCCACCCGAUACUGCGAUGACUAGAGUCCGGUAGGGGAGUGUGGAAUUCCUGGUGUAGCGGUGAAAUGCGCAGAUAUCAGGAGGAACACCAACGGCGAAGGCAGCACUCUGGGCCGAUACUGACGCUGAGGAGCGAAAGCGUGGGGAGCAAACAGG
rnacentral:rRNA from 1 species